AACAAGGUUUCCGUAGGUGAACCUGCGGAAGGAUCAUUACCGAGUGAGGGCCCUCUGGGUCSUCACCUCCCACCCAUGUUUAUUGUACCUUGUUGCUUCGGCGGGCCCGCCUCACGGCCGCCGGGGGGCUUCUGCCCUCUGGCCCGCGCCCGCCGAAGACACCAUUGAACACUGUCUGAAGAUUGCAGUCUGAGCAAUUAGCUAAAUAAGUUAAAACUUUCAACAACGGAUCUCUUGGUUCCGGCAUCGAUGAAGAACGCAGCGAAAUGCGAUACGUAAUGUGAAUUGCAGAAUUCAGUGAAUCAUCGAGUCUUUGAACGCACAUUGCGCCCCUUGGUAUUCCGGGGGGCAUGCCUGUCCGAGCGUCAUUGCUGCCCUCAAGCACGGCUUGGUGUGUUGGGCCCCGUCCUCCUUCCCGGGGGACGGGCCCGAAAGGCAGCGGCGGCACCGCGUCCGGUCCUCGAGCGUAUGGGGCUUUGUCACCCGCUCUUGUAGGCCCGGCCGGCGCUUGCCGACAACCAUCAAUCUUUUUUCAGGUUGACCUCGGAUCAGGUAGGGAUACCCGCUGAACUUAAGCAUAUCAAUAAGCGGAGGAAAAGAAACCAACAGGGAUUGCCUCAGUAACGGCGAGUGAAGCGGCAAGAGCUCAAAUUUGAAAGCUGGCCCCCUCGGGGUCCGCAUUGUAAUUUGCAGAGGAUGCUUCGGGAGUGGCCCCCAUCUAAGUGCUCUGGAACGGGCCGUCAUAGAGGGUGAGAAUCCCGUAUGGGAUGGGGUGUCCGCGACCAUGUGAAGCUCCUUC
rnacentral:rRNA from 1 species